CUCGUGUCGUGAGAUGUUGGGUUAAGUCCCGCAACGAGCGCAACCCUUGCUUUAGUUGCCAGCAGUUCGGCUGGGCACUCUAAAGGGACUGCCGGUGUUAAACCGGAGGAAGGUGGGGGAUGACGUCAAGUCAUCAUGGCCCUUAUGUCCAGGGCGACACACGUGCUACAAUGGCCGGCACAGCGGGAAGCGAGGCAGUGAUGCCAAGCGGAUCCCUUAAAGCCGGUCUCAGUUCGGAUUGAAGUCUGCAACUCGACUUCAUGAAGCUGGAAUCGCUAGUAAUCGCAGAUCAGCCAAGCUGCGGUGAAUACGUUCCCGGGCCUU
rnacentral:rRNA from 1 species